ACCUCGAGGCAGCUCGUCCGCCUGUGAGGCAGGAUUUCCGAGGAGCCCACUAGGUGGUGCGUGAGCUGCGGCGAUGGUGACCGGCUGCGCUGGACCAGUCACCCCCCGCCUCCCAGGACCCCCCUCAGGCCAGAGGCCCCCAGCUCACAAGCCGGCCCUGAAUCAUCCCCGUUCCUGGGCCCGUCUCCACGUUCUUUCUCUGGGAAAGCAGGGCCCAGGCUUCUGCUCCCUCUUCAAUACAGCACACAUGAACACUUUGGGAGUGUCACCUUAAAAAUAAAAAACACAACGUGAGAGUUGAGAGUUAAGUUUUACUUGGGACAGAAUGAGGACUAGAACCUGGGUGGCAGCAUUCAGAGAGACCCAAGAAACUACUCCAAAAAACUGGGACCUCAGUGAGUCCGGACACCAGGCCAAGUGUGGAAAAGAAAGGAAGAAGGAAGAGAGGAGGCAUCCGUUGAUGAACCUCAGAUGCCAAGAUAAAGGAGACUUGCUUUUCGACGAGAUGACACUGGCCCUGCUGGUCGGGCUCCCGGGGAGAGGAGGUCUGAACUGCUCGGCUGCUGUCUACUGGCUGAUAAUGGGAUGAAAACAACACACAUCAAACAGUGAGCGGGGCUGUUAACAAGGUAGCCCUUCCUGGGAUCCUGGCGCCUUCAUCCAGUCAGGCCGGUGCCUUGAGCACCCACCCAAAAGUGGCGAGGGGAGUUCCUUGGGACCCUUCAAGUCCUAGCGUGUGGGUGAGAGCCCCCGGCUCCGGGAACGGCAAGCGGCAGGUAAGUCUUCCUGGAAGGCGCCGUCCCCCUCUCCGGGCUGGCUCUGCAGCCUUUCCCUCGGAGUCGCAGUCUAGGAAGCAGGCUCCUCGCUAAGUAUUUGGCAUUUGAUCCUCAGAACGGUCAUCUUGCCGGAACUCGGCCUCUGUUCGCUGGUGCUCAAUAGAAACGCGGAGACGGAGCUUUGGAUGAAGUAGAGAAGGCAGGCCUGAUUGCUUUGCCAGGAAGGGGGGGCCACAGCGGGCCAGGGCCCUCGGAACUUUUGGGGGGGCGGUGAGGAGUCUCACAGUGUCAAGGAGCAGGGCGUGGCCAGCUCGUGGGCGUUCUUCUGAUGGGUGGGUGGUGAGGUCACGGGGAGUCCGCGCCGUCACCCCUCUGGUUCCAGUUGGUCUGGGGUCUCCGUGCUUGUGGGCAGCACAUGGUUGGCUUCCUCCCCUUGGCGGGGGUAAACUGCUCCGAGGACAUGGCUCAGAAUAGUAUCUCUGGUCUUUGAGAAAGAAUGUAAGGUCCUUGACUUUGUUGAGUGGCUAAAGUAUUAUUUUGUCUUGCUGGACUGCUUUUCCUUUCGCUUUGCAUUUUCUCACGUCUCUGAUUAAGUUUGAUUUUUUGGACUAAAGUUUUUCUACAGACCAAAGGCAGGCAGAGGACCUGGGGGCGGGGGCGGGAUCUGUUCUGGGAAGGCCCCAUAGCGUCUGGCUCGGUUACCCUAAAGAGAGGUAUUUUUUCCCCAUUUGACAGUUGGGAGAAGGGAACCCCAACAGCAAAAAAGUCUCAGGAGGACUCAGGCCUCCUGAAACAGCAUGGCCCCUGCUGCCCCUGUGGCUUUUCUGAAGAUGCAGCCCAGUUGAGUCUGAUUUGCUGAUUAUUGCAGACCUCUGGGCAUGAAGCUCUGAAAUCGAGAAGCGGGUGUGGCUGGUGAUGAAGGUAAACCGCACAGUCAGCUCAGCUCAUGGAGAGUCCAGCGUCUGUUGUUGUUGCUUUCAUCCUCCGGGGAAGCCAGUUUUUAGUGCUCAAAGUUUAGUAAAACAAUUUCCUACACUCGUUUAAUCAUUUCCACUUUACAAACAAACUGAGGUUUCAGCAUACCAGGGGACUUGUCCUGGCUGAUUCUGCAGGUUACGGGGAGCCAGGACUUCUGACCCAAGUCUGGAGGGAUGCUUCUCUGGCUUGGAGGAUCAAUGAAAAAUCAAAUCUGAGUUGUUCCACUGAGGUGAUGGAGUGUGCGAUUACUACAGCCUCUUAGAUAUUUAAAAUCGUAUGUUGCAAAAGACCAGUCCUACCCAUUUGCUGGGUGAGCGGGUGUUGGUACCACAAGCCAUCCUCAUACUUAAGCACAGUGGAUUGGAACGUACGGCAAAUAAACAGCGUUUUUUCCUGGCUCAGUGAGGGUAACGGCUGCUUUUGAAGAAUUAUUGCAGGUGUUUCUAGGCGAUGAAUAAAGUUACUGAGGUCGUGCAGGUGGAGCAUCUAGGCAUGGAAUUUAGAAAUUUCAAGAACUCGAAAAUUUUCCUUCCACCCCCUCCAGCUUGCACAGUGAACGUGAUUAAGCGCUUCACGGGGUGGGACCCUGCGGAGGCCACCGAGGUGGGCGACUCGGCUCCCCUCCCAGACCCCAUGUGGUCGGGAAACUGCACUGAAGGGCUCUGGCCGCACUGCAGAGGGUCUCACGGUGUCCAGCGGGCCAGCUCCCAGGGGACCUAACGGAAAGAAGAAUGGACGGAUGAAAAUCCGAAAGUCCCCAGGCCGUCCUCUCCCCACAGCCCGUCUGGAGGCACCCCAGAGGCCGACUGACUCUUUGCCUCUAAAUAUUUCAUCUGUGUGGCAACGGGACAGACUCAGGUGAGAAAACUGGAGUCAGUGUCACAGGGCCAACUUGGGCAGCCCUUUGGCGAGGCCACCUGCUUGAGCAGCUGGACGAUGGUAGUUAGGGAGGUCAGACGCCUCAUCUAAGCCCUGGCUUGGCCGCUUAUGGUCUGCCCUCCGUUGUGUUGCUUUAUCAACCUGGACCUCAGUUUGCUCAUCUUUAAAAUGGGGAUACAGGAGUCCCUGGUGGCUUAGUGGUGCAUGGCUUGACUUUUGUCACUGCUGUGGCUCUGGUUGCAUCCCUGGCUGUGGAGUUUCUGCAUGCCACAGGCCCAGCCACAUACAUUUAAAAAAUAAAUAAAAUUGGGAUAUGAACAGCCCGUAGCUCAAAGGAACUGAAAAUCAAAUAGCGAGCCAAGUGUGGCAGAAUUCCACUUUCCUUGUCCACAUGAUGCAUAGAUAAUAGUUGUCUUACUUUCUAUCAUAGGAUGAUGCUGAGGGGCCAGGAAAAAAAAAAAAAAAAA
rnacentral:lncRNA from 1 species